AAAAAAAUAAAUAAUUUAAUCCAUUUUAGAAUAAGGCUGUAACGCAACAAAAUGUGGAAAAGUGAAGUGGUCUGAAUACUCUCUGAAUGCCCUGUAUAUUAGUGAAAUAGUGAAAGG